AGACCCGAAACCCGGUGAUCUAGCCAUGGGCAGGUUGAAGGUUGGGUAACACUAACUGGAGGACCGAACCGACUAAUGUUGAAAAAUUAGCGGAUGACCUGUGGCUGGGGGUGAAAGGCCAAUCAAACCGGGAGAUAGCUGGUUCUCCCCGAAAGCUAUUUAGGUAGCGCCUCGUGAAUUCAUCUCCGGGGGUAGAGCACUGUUUCGGCUAGGGGGCCAUCCCGGCUUACCAACCCGAUGCAAACUGCGAAUACCGGAGAAUGUUAUCACGGGAGACACACGGCGGGUGCUAACGUCCGUCGUGAAGAGGGAAACAACCCAGACCGCCAGCUAAGGUCCCAAAGUCAUGGUUAAGUGGGAAACGAUGUGGGAAGGCCCAGACAGCCAGGAUGUUGGCUUAGAAGCAGCCAUCAUUUAAAGAAAGCGUAAUAGCUCACUGGUCGAGUCGGCCUGCGCGGAAGAUGUAACGGGGCUAAACCAUGCACCGAAGCUGCGGCAGCGAACGUAUCACUUAAAGCGAUUCAGCGGGUUACGAUUGACGGAGCGAAGCGACGUCAAAGCGUAUACAAAGUCGAGUCGGUUUAAGGAUACGUUCGUUGGGUAGGGGAGCGUUCUGUAAGCCUGCGAAGGUGGCCUGUGAGGGUUGCUGGAGGUAUAAGAAGUGCGAAUGCUGACAUAAGUAACGAUAAAGCGGGUGAAAAGCCCGCUCGCCGGAAGACCAAGGGUUCCUGUCCAACGUUAAUCGGGGCAGGGUGAGUCGACCCCUAAGGCGAGGCCGAAAGGCGUAGUCGAUGGGAAACGGGUUAAUAUUCCCGUACUUGGUGUUACUGCGAAGGGGGGACGGAGAAGGCUAUGUUGGCCGGGCGACGGUUGUCCCGGUUUAAGCGUGUAGGUGUGUGUUCCAGGUAAAUCCGGUUCACUUUAACACUGAGGCGUGACGACGAGGCACUACGGUGCUGAAGCAACAAAUGCCCUGCUUCCAGGAAAAGCCUCUAAGCAUCAGGUAACAUCAAAUCGUACCCCAAACCGACACAGGUGGUCAGGUAGAGAAUACCAAGGCGCUUGAGAGAACUCGGGUGAAGGAACUAGGCAAAAUGGUGCCGUAACUUCGGGAGAAGGCACGCUGAUAUGUAGGUGAAGCGGUUUACCC
rnacentral:rRNA from 1 species